rnacentral:rRNA from 16 species
GGGUGCGAUAAUACCAGCACUAAAGCACCGGAUCCCAUCAGAACUCCGAAGUUAAGCGUGCUUGCGCGAGAGUAGUACUAGGAUGGGUGACCUCUUGGGAAGUCCUCGUGUUGCAUUGC